AGCCCCAGCCCAGCUCCCUGCCGGAUGCGUUCUUGCUCCAGUCCAGGGCUCAGCGUGAGCCUCUAGCUCCCCCCGCCGCCGCUUCUGGGCGCACAAGAUCGGCGCCUGCAAUUCCCAGGACGACAAGGUGGAAAAGUGAAAGGAAAAGCAGAGGAAAUACACCCGGAUCCAAGUACCCCUGGCCCUCAUGACCCGACCCCUGGAGAAGCAGCCAAGUUACCCGACAUCGUGGUCAGCAGGAGCUGGGCUGGAGACUGGAUGCUGCAGCUUCAGAGACUCAGAACCUAGGAGGGCUCCUGUGCAGGGAGAAAGGCAGAGAUGCGACAUUUUUAAAGUUUCACAAAACACGAGGCAGCACCCAGGUCCCUGGAGUAGGAGACACACAGAAUUAAUGUUUUAUACCUUCGGGUAUAGGUUUGAGUUUUUCCCCCCUCAUGCCAAGUAUUUAAAACCUCUAGAAACCCAUGAUUUGACAAUCAAUGAUUGCGCGAUACUUUCAAUUUGAAUAUUCAAAGGUUUAACAAAAUGGACUAUCUUCUGCAGAAAUCCUGCACACAGGCACCCCACAGAGAGUCCAGAGAAACAGGGAGUGAGAGGCCUUUGGGUCCUGACCCUUGCUUUUUCUCUAUUUUCAACAUUUUGUCCACCUUCCCACAGACAGAGCAGGUGUCUUCAAAGAUAUUCCAUGUUCCUGCCUCAAAGGUAGCUCAGAAGCCCCCACUGACCUAGGCUACUCCCCGGGGAUCAUCCGAGCCAGGCUGGCUAGCCACAAGGAUUCUCACCUGUCCAAUCUCUAUUUUAAGGGAGAAAUCUCAGGUUUUGGAAAGUGAACAUGGCAGCCAGUGGGUGUGGCACAGCAAGUGGCCACUUUGGGCCCAGGUGGCAGGCCAGAGGACAGCAGAGGCCUAAGCUUUGCAUUUCAUAUUCCCCUGACCCUGCCUGACACUUGCGGGCUUCCCUCUUGGUCCAUCCUCCCACCUACUAGGCCGCAGACACUGGGCUUCCAGCAAGCAGUCCCUGUGCAUCAGCCCUCCCUCUACUCCUUGGAGACCUGUGGAUCGUCACCACUGCCCUUGGCCGGCUGAGAUUUCUCUAGGCUGGGAUUCCAUCACUGCACUGCGGCAUUCCAGAUCCCCCCCUUCUUCCUCUGCACCCUAGCCUUUUUGCCUCAUAGCACCCCUGCUUGUUUUAGAGAAGGAUAUGGGGUUUAUUUCGAAGGCUCUGAAGAGAGAGGUAGGGGGAAUUUAGAGUCAAGCUGCCUCAUUGAACUCCUCAUGUGUAACUCGGACCUGUGCUGAUGCACAUUUCCCAAGCUCUGCCUGGGUUGCUCUCUGGCCUGUGAUUUGAAAGAUGGGAGAGACUCGGGUGAAGUAGAAUGCCAGGCCAAGUCUCCACAGAGAGACAGAAGGGUCCUCCUUUGCAAAAACAACAAUAACAACAAAAAAACAACCCCCCCAAAAAACCCCAAAAAACAAAAACCCCCAAAACAAAAAACAAAACUAGAUAUUUCCAGAACUGCAGACAACAUGAUAGUACAGUUCUCUAUUUUUUAAUCCUUGAGUUCUCUGAAAUGAAAAAGGAAAGUAAGCUUUAGUUUCAAAGACCUUUAGAAAAAAACUGAAAAAUUAAAAUGUACCAAAUAUAGUGUGUUAGAUAUAGGAUAUAAUAAUCAACUCAGCUAAAAGGGCUUCUGGGGAUAAUAAAAGCAUGAUGAGUCGAACUGUGUGUCAGGCAGGUGGAGCCACAUAUCUGGGAGAGGAUCAAGGUUUGGGACACUUGAGGUAGUAUCUAGUGGUGGAGGGUGGAGUAAGGUGUGGCUGUAUUUGGUCCAGCUGGCAUUUAUCAGCUACUGGAGUCUAUUUCUGCAAAGCCAGGCCUAAGGACCAGGCCAGGGAAGGGUUCUAGGGUCUGAGGGAAACCCUUCCCUGGCACCACUUCUUCCUGCAUGCAGUGUUUUCCAUGGUCUCUUUUCUCCUUUUUGUCUUGGUCUUAUUUUUGGCUCGCUUUUAAGAAGCUUUCCUCUUUGUCCCUUUGGCUUUUUUGUUUGUUCUUCCCCACAUUUUCUAAACCCUUGUUUUUCUUUCUAUUGAUGCAUUUCUUUGCUUCCAGCUUGCACUCUUUUCUCUCUCUGGUUCUAUAUGUGCCUUUCUUUGCCCUAUUCUGGAGCACUGUCUCGUUGUUUCAGAAUAAAUGUUCUUCCUCAGCUCUCCAUACACAUAUAAAUGGGCAGAGGUGGCCUGAGGCCACAGUUUUCCCUUGGCAACAUCAAGGACAUUGAUGCUAGCAACUACAGAAAACUAUUUCAUCAGGCCCAUUUUCAGAAUCUUCCCCCUGCCAUCUAUACUACAGGCCAACCAAACAUUAAGGAAUUUUGAUUCUUGUUCUUGUAACUGAAGAGCCCCAGAACUGACAUUUCAGAGCCAAAAGCCAUGUUUGAGGAGGCAAGAGACAAUACUUUCUCAGUGGGGCCCCCUUUCAUAUCUGUGUGUGUCUGAGAAAGGGGAGAGAGAGAGAGAGAGAGAGAGAGAGAGAGAGAGAGAGAGAGAGAGAAGAGAGAGGAAGAUACCCAGAGUAACCAGCCAUUUUUCCCCAGAGAUUCCAAAUACCUAUAGAACUGGAUACUCUUCUUGCUUGCUCAUCCAUCCAUCCAUCCAUCCAUCCAUCCAUCCAUCCAUCCAUUCAUCCAUCUAUCUAUCCAUCCAUUUUGGUGCUGAGAUAGAAUCCAGGGCAUGCUGGGUAAGCCCUCUACAAUUGACCUACAUUUCCAGCUCAUAGAAGAUUAUUUAAAGUUCUCAUCUGUUGUUUCCUGGGUGCGAGACCUAUGUUGUGCAGCAUUCCCACCAUACCAUUGAAGAAGCUGACUUAGAGGGAUGAACAUCUUGCCAAGUUUAGCAAGCACACAAAUGACAGAACUGGGGUUCCAACUUUUCUAAGUCUCACUCCCAAGUCCUUGCUGUAUUAUCAGUUUGUUCAAGGAGCUUAUGACUGCAGCAUACUGAUAUGAAAAUAUUCUAGAAACAUAGAAGAAGCAACUGGCUAGAGGUGAAGACAAGCUGUUCAUUAUGCUGAUUGUGGUUUGCGUGUUGGAACCGAACCCUCUUCCUGGGGGCUUGUUGCUUGGUGGAGUAAGAAAUUGUGGGGUCUGAUGGGCUGUCACAGGCUCCUUUGCUUAUACCACAGUAUCUCAAUGUUGGGUGUUAGAAGAGACCUUGACAUGCUGAGAGGGACUGACAUCUUGGUCAGUGGCUGUCUAGCUUGUCAUUCUAUUGCUGGAUCAUAGAAAUUUCUGUGGGUCUAUUUGUAAGGCAUAUUUUGCCAUUAUUGGAAUCUUUAAAUGGAGUGAUGAGUGACUGAUCCAUAAGCCAACUAUAUGUUCCUUGAGCACCAGGUAUAUACCAGGCAGGGCAAUGAGUACCAGGAAUAUGAAGAUAAGUAAGCCUUGGUUUCCUACCCGCAAUGGCUCUGUUCUACCACGCUAAGCACAUUGCUGCUUUCCUAUUGUGGCUUCAUUCACACAUUCAUUCACCAUUUAUUCAGUAACCAUAGUUGUUUCCUCUGACCAAUCAGUGCUUGCUUUCCACUCAAACCAUUCCUGAAAGCCACUGUCCCCAGCUUUUCCCAUUCUUCAUAAAUCAGCUUUUCAGAUCUCUGCUUUUCCAUGCCCAAGGUCAGAAAUUCUUUAGUUCCUCACUGGUCUUUCAUAAAGUCAGUCUGCAGUGCCUGCAGUGAAUAGAAUGGAUAUUUUUAAUGCGUAAAGUUGAAUGUUUUUAACUGAAAACUGAAAAAUAUUGGUGGUCUUUUGUAUGAGAAUAACUGCACAGCAUUAUGCUUUUCCCUCCAAUGUAGGUUUUAUUAAACUUAGACUUGUACAUAUUAAAAGAUCUUUGGUAUAAGGAAAGGUGUGGUUUAUUCCUUCCAAAUUUGACUAUAGCCCUUUAGUAAUGCAAAGUUCUUUUGCCACCUAGAAUUUGGGACACUGUUACUGAAUGCUGUGGGAAAUAUCAAGUUCCCAAAAGUUGAAUACAUAGAAGAAAGAAGUAUUUAUUGGUCCUUAGGAUACACAUUUGGUCCAUGGGAAAAUAGCCAAGAAGCUAGUAGAUGCAGGUGAUGUAAGAUUUUGUACAUAGUUUCUCCCUCAUAGUAUAUAUUCAGAAUUUAGACUUUACUAAGAAAAACUUAUGAUGAUAGUUUACAUAAUUGACCCAAAUAUAACAAUAUAUUGCUUGUAACAUUUCUGUUUUACUUAAAACAUUUUUAUUGUACCAUUUCCUAACAUAUAAAAGUGUGUAGAGAAUACUGUCAUGAAAAUUGUGAAUGUAUCACCCAGGGUGAGGAAUAAAAUGGCUGAGUGAUCAUACAUUUAUGAACUACUAAGCAUUAGAACUUCUGGAUUAUUCCACUCUAGAUAUUUGGUUAAGGGAAAAGUCUAUCAUUUCUCUUAAUGUAACACAUAUUAUUUCUUUGGUUUACAGAUUUUCCUUUGGGAUGUGUAGCUUUUCUCCUGUUCUCAUAAUCUACUGACAAUGCAUUGCAUUUUGCAAACCUCUGUGUCUUAUUUCAUCAGAGGUCAUUGUUAAAAGAUGUUUAUAUGUCACAGAUCUAAUAAAACAUGAUGCCAGGGUUUGAAAAUAA